rnacentral:misc_RNA from 1 species
AAUGUUGUGACAAUUUAAUUGGACACAUUUACUUCUUUAGAAAAUGAAUCAAAAAAUAUAUACCGGUAUAUAUAUCUUAAAAUCAUGUCACCUAGCUGAGAUGAGGCAAUGCAUUUAAAGUUUUGAAAUGUAGGAAAAUGAAGGCCACUCAAGUCAACAUUUUAACAUGAUCGAUUCAUAAACUGGUACAUGUAUUUCUAAUCAGUAUCUCUCUUAAUUAGUAUCUUAAUUCAACACUGCUUCAGUGUGUAGUCAUUGGAGAGUUCAGUCAUGUGUGACUGCCCUAUAUCAUGCUUCCAUAACAAGCAAGCAUAUAUAUGUCUCUAUUUUCAAUGCAACAUCAAUGCAAUUUUUGUUAAAUAUUAUUUUACAUGUUAUAUAUUUAGUAUCAGGAAGUUUUUCAAUAGUUAUAGAAUUAUAGUUAUCAUGUAUAUUUUGUUUUGAAAUUUUCCAUUAUGCACGAGUUCAUUAAGUCAAUAUCACAUAUAGAUAUUUUGUUUGAUGAAUUGUUAAUUUCAGAGGUUUUCAGCAACUUUUGAUAAAAAGUUCAAAAUAAUCUACUGUGACUGGUGAAAUAUAACUACAAAAUCAACUUUACUGCAUGGUUAUUGUUGAAAAAUUCAAGUGUUGUUAAUUGUUUUGAUGGUUUUGAAAUAAAGUUUUGAUUCG